CCCACCCGCCCCGGGACUGCGCGGGCUCCCGGCCGCCGCCCCAGCGCUGCCCGCCCGGGACAGCCCGGCUCCAGCUCUCUGGGGCGGGGGCGGGGGCUGCCCAAGUGCGGGACCCCCCCCGCGCGCCUCCGGGACCUGGAAUCCCGGCUGCAGAGCCCUGCCCCGGACUCGCUGCCCCCGCCCUUCCUGCGGACGCCCGGGGCAGCCCUGCGGGGGCUCAUCCUUGAAUAGUCGCGGGCGCCGCUCUGCUCCCCUCAGUGCGCACGCAUCCGGAGAUGUGGCGGUGGCGAGACGGCCGUCACCAGCCCGCGCGGGGCGCACGAACGGGGCUGGGGGACACGGACAGGUCAUCCAGCAUCACUGAGCCGGGCGGGGGGUGAUUGUGCUCCGGCUGCGGGACGCGGUGGGAUCACAAAGCUGGGAGCCCAACCUCAUCCUGGGGCGGCCCACCGGGACUCCCAGGGAAAGUGGGGUCUGGUCCAGCUGCGCCCCGAAGGACAAGUGGAAGGCUGGGAAGACGCGGGUGUACAGUGCAGAGACUCCGCGUCUUCGGGGCCCGCGGUGGGGGGGGGGGAGAGGCGCGAAGAUGGGGCUGAUGGCGGUUCAGAGUGGAAGAGAAGGGGGUCAAGGAGACAUAAGGAGGAGCAGCCACAGAAGUGGGGGCGGGGGGGAGCACGGAACGGGUGCAGGAGGCCACAGCAAGGAAGGGAACUGGAAAGGAGGCGCCAAGAGGCGUGUCAGGUGCUGGCCACAGGGCUGGUUGGAUAGAAACUGGGACAAGCCCCGGACAUUUGGCACCCUCGACCUUGAGAACCUUGGGGAGAUGGUUCCAUGGAGAUUGGAGUGAGGAAGCGGAGCGUCCGUGUAGACAGUAUUUUCUAGGAGUUAUGUUAAAGUGAGAAGGUGUAGAUGUUGGAGAGGAAUGUGGAAUGAGGGUAAAGGGCGUUUUAAAGCACCAUGUGUGGUUAGAACACAGGCUCAGGGCUCCCGAGUCCCCACUCACUAUCGGGGAGUCCUUGGGCAUGUCACUGAACCUCUUGGUGCCUCAGUUCCCUUUUCCGUAAAACGGGGAUGAAGAUGACAAUACCUGCCUCAUAGGGUUCACGUGAAGUUUAGUUGAGAUGGUGCCUGUAAAAGCACUUAACGGCACUAAAAGCACCUGUUACUUUUCACUUGUAAUUAUUAGAGCAGCUUGCGAUAUUUUGCUGCUGAUAGGAAGGAGCUGGGAGGCAUUGAAGACAGAGGGGAGGGAAAAGGGAGCAGAGAGAAAGGGACCGAAGAACUUGGAUGGAGAGAGAAAUCUUGGGUUCCUGUGCCAAACCAAGGGAAGGAGGGAGCAGGUGGGGACACAGGGAAGUUUGCAGGUUUGGGGUAUAUGGUUGAGUGGCUUUCUGAUAGUCUUUCUCCGAAGUAGGCCUCAAGGUCGUUUGCUGAGAGGGUGGAGGUCCUGAUUUCCACUGCAGCAGUAGGGUAGGGUGCCAUGCCCUCUUUGCCAGCGACCCCAGGCAGACUCGGCAUCGCUCCCGGGAAAGUGGACAGUUGAAUUUACUAGGGUCAGAGGACAACGUCAGACCUGCCUUGCCCACUUGUGAGGCUCAUCUAAAGUUGAUGGAUUUGAAAACACUAUAUAAGCAUAACUUACCAUUUUAGUCUUUCUUCGUGACCUUGAGGAGCUGGAAGGGCUGUGGCCAUCAUCAAUAUCAAAGUUUUUCGGGCACUUCACUUGGGCCGUGCACCAUGCCAUGCUUUCACCCAUGAUCUCAUUUAGUUAUUACAAGUCAGGUGAAGUAGGUAUUAAUAUUAACCCCAUUUUGCAGAUGCAGAAACUGAGGUGCAGAGAAGUUACUGACCUUGUUCCAGGACCCACAGCUAGUAAGUGAUGGACUCAGGGUCCCAACUCAGAUCUGUCAGACCUCGAAGCCUGUGAUUUGAAACUACUAUGGAAGUUUGCAAAACCCCUAGUAGCAACCCAGCAGAAUAGAAAGAUGUGGAGGGAUCAUCUUUUCCAUUUGGUAGGUGAGAAAACAAAGGCUAGAAGCUCUGACUUCCAUCCUGGGCUCUGUAGGCUCCACCAAGCUGCCUUGUUUUUGCCUCUCUUGAAUGGGAGGAAGAACACAGAGCUUAGAGUCCCACAGACCUGGUGGUCAUCGUGCUGUACCACCAGGUGCUGUGUGACUUUGGACCAGGCAUCUUGCUCCUCUGUGCCUCCACAUGCCUGCGGAAUUCCUAACAGGUUGCUCUAAGGAAUAGGAAGGAAAAUGUUGCCUGGGGCAUGGUAGAUGUGCCAGGAGCCAUGCUUCCCACACAACCAUGGAUCUGCGUCCCACUUGGCUGCUGAGACCAACUCCUCGUGACCUUGUAUUUAUUUAGACCUUUGUUCUCCUCAGGGCCAGGAAGUGGUGGCGCCUGAUCCGAGUCUGUGGCCACCUAUGACUUCCUGAGUGGGGCCGUGGAGGUAGGGCCCUGAGCAGUCCAUGGUCCUGAGGCCUCGGACUUCAGAGGGGAGGGCCAGGUGUCACACAUACUGAUGAAGAACGCCACGGGCAGGGCUGGGCCAUCAGAAGCCUUCCUGCUGGCCUUGGCCACGGGGUCCCAGAAUUUUAGACCCCAGAGAAGUCUUGGAGAUAAUCCUGUUGCAAUUCCUUUUUUUUUUUUUUUUUUUUUUUUAAAUAAACAGAUGGGGUAACCGAGGCCCGCUGUGCAAAAGUGACUUUUACCUAAGAUACUCUGGACAGGGCAGAGCUAAUAUGCACGGAACUUGCAUUUUGGGACCUGACUCCAGAACCCUGGGGAUUUCCAGUGGGGCAGUGAACACCCACACCGAGUAUCCUAGGCUGCUCGGAGGUUCCAGGGAACAUAGACAAGUCACCGACUGGGGCUCUCUCUGCUCCUGUCCCCUGGGGAGGAAGUGGAGGAAGCCAGUGGCAGCCUGAGGUCCUCCGACUGGGGAAACUCUAACUGUGGUUCCUGAAAGUCCGUGACACGGUUCUUUUUUCUCUCUGACUUGCUUUCCCCUCCCUCUUGCUCAAAAGAAUGACUGGACACUCCUAGAGCCUGCAGUCACCAUCCAGGGGAUUUUUUUCACCACAAAGGGUAAUUCCUGUCUCACCCCUGCUGUGACUCAGCUGUGACGUUGAACCGCACAAGCCAGCGAGAAGAUAAAAUCAUCAGACUCCUGCACAUCAGAGAGGGUGGCCCGGCCAGCACUCACCUCUUCUCCCAGCACAGACUCCACGGAGCUGGUCCCCUCCCCAGAGGAGCUUGAACAGGGGCCCCCCACCAGCCAGCCUGGGACCCUGAGAUGGCCUCUGGCUCGGCCAGCAGCCGCCACCCGGCCCCCGAUGAGAACGAGUUCCCCUUUGGGUGCCCCCCCACCGUCUGCCAGGACCCACCAGAGCCCAGGCCCCUCUGCUGCGCCGUCUGUCUCUCUGAGAACGUGAGGAAUGGUGAGGAUCGGAUCUGUCCCAAAUGCAAAGGGGAUGACACACCAUCUGAAAGGCCAGGAAGCCUUCUGUCUCAGGAGCAGGAUCACCCCGAGGUGGCUGAGGCUGGAGUUGGGUGUCCCUUUGCAGGUGUUGGCUGCGCCUUCAAGGGGGGCCCAAAGUUCAUGCAGGAGCAUGAGGUCACCUCCCAGGCUACCCACCUGAACCUGCUGUUAGGGUUCAUGAAACAGUGGAAGGCCCAGCUGGGCUCUGGCCUGGGGUCUGGACCCAUGGCCCUGGAGCAGAAUCUGUCAGACCUGCAGCUGCAGGGGGCUGUGGAGACAGCUGGGGACCUAGAGGUGGACUGCUACCGGGCCCCCUGCUCCGAGAGCCAGGAGGAGCUGGCCCUGCAGCACUUCAUGAAGGAGAAGCUCCUGACUGAGCUGGAGGGGAAGCUGUGCGUGUUUGAGAACAUUGUCGCCGUCCUCAACAAGGAGGUGGAGGCCUCCCACCUGGCCCUGGCCGCCUCCAUCCACCAGAGCCGGCUGGGCCGUGAGCACAUCCUGAGCUUGGAACGGAGGGUGAUGGAGCUGCAGCAGACCUUGGCCCAGAAAGACCAGGCCCUGGGCAAGCUGGAGCAGAGCUUCCGCCUCAUGGAAGAGGCCUCCUACGACGGCACGUUCCUAUGGAAGGUCACCAGUGUCACCAGGCGGUGCCAUGAGUCAGCCUGCGGCAGGACCGUCAGCCUCUUCUCCCCAGCUUUCUACACUGCCAAGUACGGAUACAAGUUGUGCCUGCGGCUCUACCUGAAUGGGGACGGGACGGGGAAGAGGACCCACCUGUCCCUCUUCAUCGUGAUCAUGAGAGGGGAGUAUGAUGCUCUGCUGCCGUGGCCUUUCCGGAACAAGCCCUUGUUAAUAGGUGAAGCCAAGGAAACUAAGAAGAGGGAGAUAAUGUGUUCAAGCCCAAUCUGAAUCAGUGGUGGAAUCAGGAUUCACACUUUCGAUGUGAUUCACAGUCAGAUGGAGAAACUGAGGCACCAAGAGGAUCAGCCUGUCUGAGGUCAUGUGACUGCAGGGCUCCUGGACUCUUCUCUGCCUUUCAUCUGGUGUCUGGGCACGGCUCCCGGAGAUCUCAGGAGAGGAUUUGCUCUGUGGGUCUGAAAGAGACCGUGGGUCCAGAAGCCAGUGGGCGGGACGCUGUGCCCACCUGCGCCUGGGAGAGUGAUGCUUCCUGUGCUUUCAAGCAGCUGUACCCCAGUGGAGCAGACAGGACCCACUUCCCCUUCCUGACCCCUGCUCCCCUACUGAGCUCCAGAGCAGAGACUUGCUAAGCCUCAGUUCCUACUUCUGCAUGAAGGUGAAAAUCCUAGCCUCACAGUGUUGCUAUGAGGAUGCCAAGGUUGUGGAAACCACUAGUUUUGGACACUGUGGGGUCCCAGUCUAAUAAUAACAGAAACAAGGGUCCCAAACAGUCAUGGAGUGCCGAGCCUACCGGUAGACACUGAGCUGAGGGCUCCCAGGCAUCAUUGCAUGAAACUUGCAUAAAAACCCCAAGAGGAGGUGUGAUGAUUAUCACCCCUAUUUUAUAGAGGAGGAAACCCAGGCUCUGAGAGGUAAAAAUCACCCACCCAAGGUCACACAAGUGCCGGGAGCCAGGACUUGGACCCAGAUCAGUCCAUGCCAGAUUCAAACCCUUAGCCCAUGACGUGAUCAGCAUAAGGUGGAAAUGGUACAGAAAAAGGUGAGGUCGGUUUUAGGUCUGCGCAGACUGCAGGUUCAUUUUUAAACAAGCAUAACGAUGAGAACGACAGCUUACUGAGCACCUACUUUACUUGCAUUACCUGCAAGUACCACCCUUAAUAUUGAUAACUGACCUAGGAGGAAGGCACUGUUGUCCUCACUUUAUAGAUGAAGAAACAAGCUCAGAGAGGCCAGGCAACUUCCCCAAGGUUACACAGCUAGUAGGCAGGUCUCUGCCUCCACAGUGAGAGGUUUUACCCAUGGUGGUGUCCUCUCCAGUGCUUUGGGGAGCAGGAGAGGGUCAGAUGGAUGUGAUGUCCCUUCUGGACCAGCCACCAGCCCUUCUUCUCCAGGGGAGAUGGGCCUGCCUGGAGCACUCCACCUGGCGGGACCUCUUGGGUAGGAUUGACACCGGCCACGGGGAAGGGGAAGGACGAAAUCAGGGGAGCUGCUGGGGGGCCACUGAGCCUUUGCCAGGAGCUGGAUCUCAUUUGCUGCCUUGGCAUCUGGGACUUGCGUUCGUUUAAGCAAAGCACAUCCAUGUGGCACAGAGUUUGGGGACCAUUCCAGAGAGGCUGGGAUAUUACAGUCAUCUGGCUGAUGACAUUUCUUCCUUUUCAGGUCCUUUCCUCAACUCCCACCUGUCUCAAGGCAUUUCCUCCGAAGAAAAUCCGGGGUGUAUGGUGCAAAUGUCAUCAUAGCUGUCCCAGCCAAUCCUGGUAAGGCAGGGAGGUGAGGGUCACCCAGCAGGUCAGUGGCUCGGCUAUGGUGGCCUGUGAUUCCCCUCUGGUGGGAGGAGGUCAGCUGAGCCAUCGUCCCUCCCCGCCUGUUGCUCUCACCCUCCUGCCGCUCUCACCCUCCUGCCGCCCUCUGGGCAGUUGGAUCCAUUCUUCCAGCAGUAGGGCCCCUGUUCUCUUUGUACAGAUGAAAAGCAGGAGCUCAGAGAAGAGCAACUCCCUUGGGGCAGCCAGGUGCCUAGAGGCAGAGCCUCCUAGGACCUGGGUCUGCUGCUACACACCCCUGCCCUUGGGCUGUACCCACUAACUUGUCGAUUUCAAUAUUGAAGGUUCUCUCUAUGGAAACAACUGAUUUCUAUCCCCGCUCCCUCUCACAAGCACAGCUCCAUCUGGGGAGAAAUCCCAGGGCCGGCAAUGGAGUGGAAUCCACCUGGGACACGGGUGUCUGGGACUGGGGGGGUGGGAGAAAAGCUCCUCUCUGCUGCUACUGUGCCCCCUGCGGAGCUGCCUGCCCCUCGGAUGUCUCCUGGGGGCGGGGUGGGGGUAUGAGUGCACUCCCAACCCCCUAGACCAUUGAGUGUCCGGUGUUAAGCCUGCCAGGGACUCUGUACUCUUGCUGUGGGACCUUGGGCCAGUCACCUGCCAUCUCUGAACUCACGUUCCCAGGACUUCCCUGGCGGUCCAGUGGUUAAGACUCCGCACUCCCAAUGCAGGGGGCACGGGUUCGAUCCCUGGUCAGGGAAGAUCCCACAUGCUGCAUGGUGUGGCAAAACAACAACAACAAAAAAAAAAAAACACAAAGGCAAAUCUGAGCUCACAUUCCCAUCUGCAUAGUGGACAGGUGGGUGGGGACAGAUACAGUGCUGACCAUGUGGGAUUCUGGGCGCAAAGAGUCAGACCGAAGGAGGCCCUCUUCCCCACGGCACGUGAGCAGCAUGCCCUGGUCAGGGCAUGCAGAUCACUUCAGACUGUCUCCCCGCAGCCUCUCACUUGCAUUUGGUCAAGAGCAGGUGUUGGAGUCCAAUAGUCCAGUUCAAGUCCCAGCUCUGUCACUUAGUAGCUGUGUGUCCUUGGGCAAGUUCUUUAACUUCUCUGUGCCUCCAUUUCCCCAAGUGUUAAAAGGUGAUGAUAAAUUCCUACCUUGUAGGGAUGUGUGGGAAGGAAGCAAGCCAACACCUGGCAGGAACUUCGAUGGAGCCCCUGGUGUGAGCGGCAUGUAGUAUUCCUGCUACAAUUACUACCAAGGUCUUAACCCUCAAGCUCCAGCCCACUGAGGAGCCGUGAGUCAAGGCCAUACAGCUCUCUUCCCACUAGCCCUGGCUCUGUCUCCCGAUCGCUGAUCCACCAGAGGCCAGCUCCUUACCCUUGUGGGGCCUCAGUGACCUCAUGUAGAAAAUGACACUUGGACUUCACUCUGGGUCGCGAGACACAGCACAGAGCUGACACUUAGGAGACAAUCACGAACAGAUCUUCCACAGGCUGGGUGCUGUGCACCUCUGACGGUGUUUCUGCAAAGCCCAGCAUCAUCAGGACUUGAGGGGGAGGGAACGUGCACCCCUUCCUCCCUCUGGCAUGGAACCUGCCUAAACUGUGUGUUGGGUUGUUAAGAUCCAGAGAGUUCCUUUUUUCAUUGCAGUCAGGUGUUUUCAGAGCCUCACCACUCACUGACGCCGGCAUCAGUUCCUUCCGGCCCAGAGGCCUCUUUGCGGCUCCGCAGGACAGCCCUGCCCUCUGCCCAAGGUCCAGGGUGGAGCUGGAAGGCUGGCAGGGGGGUAGAGCCUGACACAGAUGGAGGCCACCCUGCGUUCCUGCUCUACUCCUGACUCUCGCCCUGGCUUCCGCCAGCCCGCCAGCCCUGCCCACCGGUGCAGAGCAAUACUGUCCAGUUCAGCAGCCGCUGACACGCGGGGCUGUAAAGUGUGUGGCCAGCUGAAUAACGCUCUCCAAAGAUGUCUACACCCUAAUCCUCGGAUCUAUGGGGAGAGCAAAUCAGAGAAGAGAAGGGACCCACCCCUGGUUCUAUAGCAAGCUUGCAGGGAGGGUCAACAGGAUCUCCUACAUCCCAAUGGAGGCGCUCCUGGGCUCCCAAAGAGGACAGACACUUGAUGUCUCUCCUUUCCCCACAAAAGCCACAGCAAAAAUAGAAGAGGGCCGCAGAUGGAAGAAGAUGGAUUCUUGCAAGGUGGGAGACCUUCUCUCGACAUUCCUUGGCCUUUGCUGGUCUCCCCUGAGACACAGCUGAGAAUCUGAUGCCUGCCAUGCCUGGUUCACCAUGCUGUGACAAGUCUCAGGGAACAGACAUGUUAGGACACCGUGAGGUCUGAUGGCCCUGCAUAUGUGACAGGUUAGUGCUGUGACUAAACCUCCUCUGCUGUAAUCUCCCAGCCCCCGCCCCCCAUCUUUAAAAUUACCAAGUAUUUCAAACAUACAGAGAAUAGAGAAAACGUUUUGGACUUGAGAAGGAGAAGGAUCAUUGCGAAGAAUUACAGACAAGACACCCAGCUUUGCCAAAUCUCGACACCUUGCCAUAUUUGCUUCAGAUUUUUUUUUCUGAAAAAUAGGACAUUACAGAUAAAAUUAAAUCCCCUGUGUUCCUCUUUCUGAUCUCAUUCCCAUCCCUCCCUUCCCAGAGGUAACUACUAUUCUAAAUUUAGUGUCUUUGAUUUCUUAUGCAUGUUUUCACACUUUCACUAUCUGACUGUAUCCCUAAAACUACAUAUAUAGCAUAGUUUUGAAUUAAAAAAAAAACUUUUGGUAUCACACUAUUCUACCACUUGAUGUUCCCUUUUUCUUUUUUUUUUCUAGACUCUAUCUAUGUUGAGGCUACAGCCUCAUUUUAUUUUCCCUCCCAGUAUAUUAUUCCAUUGCACAGAUAGAUCACAAUUUAUCUAUCUGCACUGCUGUUGAUGGACAAUUAAUCAAUUCCUCAUUUUUCAUAAUUAUGUGCUGAGUGAGUGAAGUCACUGAAUUGUAGGCACGAGCAUCUUCAACUUUAUUAGAUGUUGCCAAACCUCUUCUUCAGAGAAGUUGUACCAAUUUACACCUCCAUCAAGACUGUACAAGGGUUCCAAGGGUGCCACCUCUUCACCCCCUCCACCCUUCUCCCAACAUUGAUAGAAUGCUUACUCCUUGCCAGUCCGGAGGAUGUGAAAUGGCGUCUCACAGCUCUUUUCAUUUGCAUCUCUCCCAUGACCCGUGAGGUUGAACAUCUCUUUACAUUUUUGGCCACCUAGGUUUCCUCUUUUGUGAAUUGCCUGUUGAUGGUCUUAACCCAUUUCUUAAAAAAAUGAUUGUCCUUCUCUGGUUUGUCCAUGCUUUCAACCUACUUCUGCCAGAUCGCAAAGCAAACUCGGAUCAUGGCCCUUCUCAGUUCUCAACUCCCCGAGGCUCUCUAGGAUACACAUAACUUACAACCUUGCUCAGUGGUCCUGAUUUGCCGUGGGCUGAAAACAAAGCUCAGCCCAGGACACUCAGCCCCACCUUCUCCUCCAGCCUUACCGUCUGCACCCUGAACUCCGGUCCAGCGGACACAACUCACUCCGUCCCAGGCCUACUGCACACACCAUGCCCUAGGCCUGGAAUGCCUCCCUCCUAUCUCCACAUUUCCUCUGAAUGCCACCUUUUCUGUGACAGUUCUCAAUUCAAAGUUGGAUUUGCCUCUAAACGGUCAGGUGAAACUAUACCUUUCUAGUGGCAUUUAUCAUUUCUCCUUUUGUAGUAUUUUAACCACUCCUCAUCUUGCCCAUCACUUUUUCAUUGACAAAAACACCCGCCCCUGCAUUAUGCUAUUUUGUCCUCAUCUCUGCAAUGGCCCUGUGAAUUGGGGUAGUACCCCUACCCUCUCUGAACAGAUAGGGAACGUGGCCUACAGGGGGAAUAGUUCACCCAACAUCUUACUCUGGCUCAGAGGCAGAGGUGGACUUGAAGCCAGGACUCCUCCAAUUCCAUGUCCAGCUUGCUGCAUCACGCCCCUCAUAUUUAUAUAUGCAUGUUGUUGCUGCUUGAGCCAACACCUGACUCCCCCAUGAGACUGUGGGCCCCAUAGCUCCCAGUUCUAGUCCUACCCAGGGGGGCACUCAAUGAAUAUAUAAUUUCUUGACAAAGUACGAUAAUCACUUACUGCAUACCCACUGGCUGCCGGGGGCUUUGCAUACAUUCACCCUAACCUUCCCAACAACUCUAUGAGGAGACUGGGGUUUAAGAGUUGAAGUGCUAUGCUCAGGGUCCCACGGCCGGUAAUCAGUGCAGUUGGCCUAUGAGACCCAGAGGUAAGUGCUUCCAACCGUAAUCUCUGCUCUGUGCAUCCUAAAGGUAGACCCAGCCAGCCAGAGAGAUCGCACCCCAAGGCCCAGAGGCAGGGGGCCAAGGGUGGGCAACUUGACAGUCAACAGGAGGGACUGGGGGCUGGGGGAGUAUGGUCCACCCGCUACACCCAUGAUGUCCACACUCCACAGCCUCACGGGUGUCUGUGCAGUGUGAUGGUAGCAGGUGAGAAGAGGGCUGAGGGAUAAGGAGAGGGGUUGGCAAGUAUUCUCCAGCCCCCAACCCCCAAAGAGUAAGUCUGGAUGGGGACAUUGCUACCCAUUCUCCCCAGGGCAAGGACUGGAUAUGACGGGAGCCACGCCCCUUUCCUCAAUCUGCUAUUCCUAUGACUCUGUAUGCUGUCUUUCACUGUGUGCCACUUAUUUAAAUGUUGUGUUUGUGUGUGUGGUAUGUAUUUGCAACUGUAUCUUUGUGUUGUGUUUCGGUGCAUUACGUCUGUGUGCAAUUUGCUGUUGGUGUACUCUGUUUCUCUUGUGCGCCUGUUACGGCUCUAUGCCUGUUUGUCUACUUUAUGUGUAUGUUUUGUUGUGUGUCCGUGCUGUGUACACGGUGUGUCUCUCCUAUGUAUCUAUGUCCAUACUCUGUAAUGGCCUCUUUAUUGUGUGUUGUGUCGUGUGUAUCAUGUGUUGUGAAUUUGUGUUUGUGCCGUGCGCAUUGUGGAUCUGUUUCUGUGUGUGCUCUCUACACCGCAAGUGCAGGAUGUUUGUGUGUUCUGUUGUGCGAAUCCCGUUUGGGUUGUUCUAGGUCUGUGUCUACGCAGUGAGUCCGUGUGUAUCUGCACCUCCCCGCUGUGUGUCUGUGCCAGCUGACAUCUGUGCCCUGCGCGCAGAGUUGUGUUUCCUCAACAAGUGUGUGCCGGCUCGGAGUGCCGCGCGCGCCUCCUCGUGUGCCCGCGUUGUGCCUGCGCCUCCGCCGGGCGGUCGUGCCGGGGUGCAGGCUCCGCGUCCGUGUGCGCUCGCGCCGCUUGUCUGCGUCC